AGAGUUUGAUUAUGGCUCAGGAUGAACGCUGGCGGCGUGCCUAACACAUGCAAGUCGAACGAGGCCCUCACCUUCGGGUGGGGUGUCCUAGUGGCGGACGGGUGAGUAACACGUUGGUGACCUGCCCCAAAGCGGGGGACAACCCUGGGAAACCGGGGCUAAUACCCCAUGUGAUCCAGAGCGUUAGAGGGCUUUGGAUGAAAGGAGCAAUCCACUUUGGGAGGGGCCUGCGGCCUAUCAGCUAGUUGGUGGGGUAAUGGCCUACCAAGGCGACGACGGGUAGGGGGCCUGAGAGGGUGGCCCCCCACACUGGAACUGAAACACGGACCAGACACCUACGGGUGGCAGCAGUGGGGAAUAUUGCACAAUGGGCGAAAGCCUGAUGCAGCAACGCCGCGUGCGCGAUGAAGGCCUUCGGGUUGUAAAGCGCUUUUCUGGGGGAAGAGUAAGGACGGUACCCCAGGAAUAAGUCUCGGCUAACUACGUGCCAGCAGCCGCGGUAAAACGUAGGAGGCAAGCGUUAUCCGGAUUUACUGGGCGUAAAGCGCGUGCAGGCGGCUUGGUAAGUCGGACGUGAAAGCUCCCGGCUCAACUGGGAGAGGCCGUUCGAAACUACCAGGCUAGAGGGCAGCAGAGGGAGGUGGAAUUCCGGGUGUAGCGGUGAAAUGCGUAGAUAUCCGGAGGAACACCAGUGGCGAAAGCGGCCUCCUGGACUGUCCCUGACGCUAAGACGCGAAAGCUAGGGGAGCGAACGGGAUUAGAAACCCCGGUAGUCCUAGCUGUAAACGAUGCAGACUUGGUGUUGGUGGUUUAAAACCCAUCAGUGCCGCAGCUAACGCGAUAAGUCUGCCGCCUGGGGACUACGAUCGCAAGGUUAAAACUCAAAGGAAUUGACGG
rnacentral:rRNA from 1 species